GCCGCAUAUCUCUACUCCCCUUUCCCUUUUCUUCGUUUUAUGGAGAAAUGGCUAAAAGAGAAGCCACGGCCACCGGAUCGGUGCUGAUGAAGGGUUAGAUGACUCCUAAACGACCCUCUUACAAACAUAAAAGUCUAAACUAACUCUUCUAACUUCAAAAACCCCACAAAAUCGGUCCUAGGCUUAGGAUUAAAAGAAACUUGAUGCCUUUGGUUGAUGAAGAGGCGUUCUUCAUUCCAAUGAAGCAAAGACGGGAGUCUUCCACUGUGAAAGCACCGGACGAAGAAGGCGAUCACUAUGAUGGGGUGGUUCACGUUUUUAAAGCAUCAUAUUUUUGAGUUGUUGUGUUGUUACCGUUUUUCGGUUAGGUUUUAAAUUUGAGUUUCGACUUGAUUAAUUUGAUUAGAGUUGUUAUCGAUUAUUUUAAAACGAA